rnacentral:rRNA from 1 species
GACGAACGCUGGCGGCGUGCUUAACACAUGCAAGUCGAACGGUGAAGGGGUCUGCUUUUGUGGGCCCUGGAUGAGUGGCGAACGGGUGAGUAACACGUGAGUAACCUGCCCCCUUCUUCUGGAUAACCGCAUGAAAGUGUGGCUAAUACGGGAUAUUCUGGGUCUGUCGCAUGAUGGGUCUGGGAAAGAUUGCGCCUUUGGGUGUUUUUGGUGGGGGAUGGGCUCGCGGCCUAUCAGCUUGUUGGUGGGGUGAUGGCCUACCAAGGCGGUGACGGGUAGCCGGCCUGGGGGGGUGGCCGGUCCAACUGGGACGGAGACACGCCCCAGACCCCAACGGGAGGGAGCAGUGGGGAAUAUGGCACAUUGGGCGGAAGCCUGAUGCAGCGACGCGGGGUGAGGGAUGGGGGCCUUGGGGUUGUAACCCUUUUUGGCGAGUGAAGCGGGCCUGCUCCUUGUGGGGGGGUUGACGGUAGCGGGAUAAGAAGCGCCGGCUAACUACGG